AUUGAACGCUGGCGGCAGGCCUAACACAUGCAAGUCGAGCGAGCGGCGGACGGGUGAGUAAUGUAUGGGGACUGCCCGAUAGAGGGGGAUAACUCCUGGAACCGGUAGCUAAUACCGCAUACUAUCGGCUCCCCCCUCUGGGCUUAGCUAGUAGGUGAGGUAAUGGCUCACCUAGGCGACGAUCCCUAGCUGGUCUGAGAGGAUGAUCAGCCACACUGGGACUGAGACACGGCCCAGACUCCUACGGAGGCAGCAGUGGGGAAUAUUGCACAAUGGGCGCAAGCCUGAUGCAGCCAUGCCGCGUGUAUGAAGAAGGCCCUAGGGUUGUAAAGUACUUUCAGUCGGGAGGCGUGACCGACAGAAGAAGCACCGGCUAACUCCGUGCCAGCAGCCGCGGUAAUUC
rnacentral:rRNA from 1 species